AAGAUGGCGACCGGCGCACGGGUGAGUAACACGUAUCCAACCUGCCGAUAACUCUGGAAUAGCCUUUCGAAAGAAAGAUUAAUACCGGAUAGUAUACGAAUAUCGCAUGAUAUUUUUAUUUAAAGAAUUUCGGUUAUCGAUGGGGAUGCGUUCCAUUAGUUUGUUGGCGGGGUAACGGCCCACCAAGACUACGAUGGAUAGGGGUUCUGAGAGGAGGAUCCCCCACAUUGGAACUGAGACACGGUCCAAACUCCUACGGGAGGCAGCAUG
rnacentral:rRNA from 1 species